CAGCGCAAGACGCCAUCCAGAAGAUAACAAGUGUAGAAAAGAUUCUCAACACCAGUGGCUUCAAGAUCAAAGAGUGGUAUUGUUCUUCCGCGCAGCUGCAAGACCAAGUGGACAAAGAAAUAAAAAUGACGCCCGAGUCCGAUUCAGCCUCAAGCAAUACGGUUUUGCCAUCGAAAGAGGAAUCGCCUACCGUGAGUAAUAUCAGUCUAGACGGAGAAGGAGGAGUAAAGACGCUUGGAGUUUCCUGGAAUCCGAACACCGAUACCAUUAACUUCGAAGUCAAGUCGAGUGAAACGGAAAUGUUCACGAAACGAGUGGUUCUGUCAAACAUAUCGCGAUUGUUUGAUCCCUUGGGACUUGCUUCAGCAGUUACAAUACGAGCACGGAUAGCACUCCAAGAAAUCUGGAAAUUGAAGAAAUUUGAUUGGGACGACCCUCUGCCGAAUGAGUCACAGCAGUCAUGGCAAAGGUUGUUUGAUGAUAUCAAGAAACUAAAAACGGUGCAAUUUCCUAGAUGCCUUCAACCCGAAAGUUCGUUUGGUUCACCGGAGUUACACGUUUUUGCUGAUGCCAGUAUCCUUGCUUAUGGGACAGCAGCCUACCUCGUCUGGCCCACCGCCAAUGGGAAAGAAGUCCGCCUUAUAUCAGCUAAAGCUCGAGUUGCACCCCUCCGUCAAACCACCAUCCCACGUUUGGAACUCAUGGCAGCCCUGUUAGCAUCUCGAUUAGCAAAGACCAUUCACGACGAGUUCAAAAUCAAGCCUUCAAGC